CGCGGCUUUCGGCAAGGCGACCGGUUUCGCGAAAAUAGAGAACGAUCUUCCCCGUUCUUUCUUUGGUGGGUUGAGUUUUCCUGGAGGCACGCGCGGUCGCGAAUCGCGCGCGUGUACUUUCUUCCAGGGGCGUGGUACAGAGGGAGAAAUAAAAGCGAGCUGUAGUGUGAGAAAAAUUAAAAAAAAAAGGACGCGAGAGGCACGAGCGGUUCCUUUUAGGCUGAUUCAGUUCAUGGCUCGCGCGGACUAUAUUCACGCGGCCGCGGUCAGCGAACGACUGGUUGGUUGGCGCGCGCGCGCGCCGGCUGGAAGGGCUUCUCGGUACCGUCGCCCGACGCGCAUGCGCGGGGAAGGGGUUCUAAGGACCACGUGUGGUAGAAUCUUGCGCCGUGACUGUGUCUGGCGACUGGAAUACCUGCGAAAGUUGUGACACGAAUGUUAAAUAUGACGUAAAAUUCAAUCACUGGGAUUAAUUGAUCGACAUAUUACGAAAAUAAUUGUCUAUACCGACGCGCAUUCGUCCAAAAUCGUCGGAUAAAAUCACAUUUUCCACUUCAUCCGAGAAAUCAGCGAAGGUGUACGCUCCGAAAUGUUCCAACUUUUGGCGCAGCCCCGCCUACCUGUUCCUGGAAAUAUUCGCUUUGGGACAAACGUAAACAUGAGCUUACCUGGGCCGAGGAACCACCGUCCCUUCCAGGAUUUCGUCGCUUUUUCUGCGAUCUCAACCAACUGGAAGCAUUCCUUCACCUACAUCUGUCCUCCGGAUUCCACGGAGCCGUUCAUAUACAAACUAACCGAUUCCACCUGCGUUCCAUUUAAGAACCUGCCGUAUUUUUGUCACUCGUUUUACCCUCGAUCGCGUCCAGGACAAAUCACUUUGAACGUCGCUUAGAAGAUAUUGGGUCGUUGCAUUUCGAGGUAUUCGACGACCGAAAACAAUUAGCGACACGUAUUCGACGACACGCAACAUGCUAACAAUUGCUAGUGUACAAUCCAAUGCGAAAAGUAUUUUAAACAGAAAGUUACAUUACGUGGAGUAAAAUGUUUAUUCAUAUGGUCUCAUAGAGUCGAUUCAUAUAAAUCUAGUUUUGCGAAUCUUAAUUAUACCUCUGCAGCAAUUGUUUCACCUUUAUAUUAUAUUUUACUAUAUAUGAUAUUAUACGUGUACGAGAGGAACACGAGUUGGAAUUCGCAGAACUAGGAAGCAGUUGUUCGUUACUUAAAAUCACGAAUGUUUCGAAAUCGCUGAUAAUCUAAAAAAAAUGUAAAUCGCGUGAAUACAUUGCCGCCUCUGAUUUACAUAUCUAGCGUGCCAAUUUUUCGUGGGACUGUAUUGCACGAAAGGGAAGACCGUAAUUUGUCUUGGCAUGCAGGACACUGUUCAUGAAUGAAGUUGUACUGUGAACUCGUGCCGUCCGUGCCCGGCGGUGCCGCUUGAGAGAACGACACCGAGCCCGACUCCUGCGUUUUCUCGCAAACGCGUUUAUUAGUUGUGGCAAAUGCCACAGCCCGUGAUCGACCUUUCCUAUUGUCCGGAGAUGUGCCUCAGCGUGCCGCGUUCCCGCACUUCCUUUUCGUCUAGGAUCGCUCAUUACCAGUCCCACAAUUCCUGUCGUUUCGCGUCUGUUAUUUUCAAUUUCCAUUAGAGUAGACCAAUCGAAUCGGUCGUAAAGGAAAACGAAUUGUUGCAAAUAUUUUCUCACAACCUCCCGUAGAUAUCUCUUAUAGAUAUUUCGUUCACGUUUCUGCAAGAAACAAACAUCUCCACGAAAUACAUAUUGAUAUUACCUAAAAUUAAUUGUCGGCGUUAGUACGGAGAGCCAACUCGUCGCACUGACGCAUGAAAAAUAAUUUACAACGACGAAAUCGCGCGGGUCUGUCAGAAACGGUGAAAACGAUCAAAUCGUCCUGGUUUAAAUGCAUCAGGCCAUUACGAAUGAAUCACGGUUUUUUUAAGGCCUCUUUGUAUCAUGCACGGCGUCUUACCCCAAUUGCUGGUACAUCCUGUUUAGACAAUUGAGGAAGAUGCCACUUGCAACCGUGAAAUUAGUCCACCGAUCGCGCUUCAGCUCGUCGAGAUUGUCCGUAAAAUUUUUCCCUGGAAUUGCUUGAAAUUAUAUGGAAAGAUUGAAAAAAAGAUCUAUUUUUAAAGCGAACAGUGAGACUUAUUAUGGUUGCUGCGGGAGGAAAAUAGAAAACAGCAGGAGUACAGCGCGCACAACGUGGCAGAAUCGAGCGGAGCGCCGUUUUAAUUGUGUUCGCGGAUCAUUUGAAUUCUCUGCGAGCGACGGACAAUUUCGAAAAAUAUAUUCCGGUCGGGAACAAAGCAUCUACGACGUCUCCGGUGCGACGUGUGUGUUCUUUCACCUGUUAUUUCACUGUUCAUUGGCUGCGCACCUUACCCGGUGCAAAACUGAGCCGCACAAUAAAGGUCUCUCCCUGUCUCUCUUUCUCCUUCCAUCUCUGCGUCUCACCGAGAGGCUAGCGCGCCCUCUCUCGCGUGUAUACGUGUCGUGACCUUGUGGCAUUUGGUACCUGGCUGUACCAGUCGGCGCAUGACUCCGCCUGACGUAUAGUGAUAGGCACGAUUCGAGUGCCUGAAUCGCGCGAUCCACCUAUUUCCUUCUAUGUAUCAACUGGCCCCCACCUGUAUCGAUCCAUUAUUUGAUCACACUGGCCGACGAAUUGCAAUAUCUUCUGUUAUUAGAGAUUUUUACAAAUUUCUAUGCACUGCGCAGUAAUCCGUUAAACGUUCUCUAGCAGUACGUAGCCAUAGUUCUGCAAACAUUAUAUCUUGAGAGAAAAAUCAGGUUUUUAAGUUUACGUCACGUUUUAUCUGCGAACACUAUGUAAACGUUUCUUGUAGGAAUUAAUUGUAUAUAUUUUUAGUAUAUAAUUCUAUUUGUUUUAGAAAUUAAUAGAUCGCGAGGAAAUUUCAAAUACGUCACCUAAUAAAGCAGACUUUAAUUAAACAGCAACGCUAAAGAAAAGCUAGGACGUAGAUUCUGUGCACAAUCGAGAAAAUUAAAUAAUUACGCAUGACGCAUGUGCUUAGGGUAACAUCAAUCAUUGAGAUUGAGAAUCACUGGUGGUAGCUAGUGUCAUGCGUAACUAUUUAAUUUUCUCAAAUAAAAACAAAAUCUAUGUUACUGUUUUCUUUUUUCUUUGAUGGUAUAUCCUGAAUUAAAACAUACUCUAUCAUGUAAUGUAACUCAAUUUUAUCUCACACCUUUAUUUUGGAAAAUAAACUAAAAAUCACCUAA